CAUGGAUUUCAAACUGUUGGAACAAAGUCUUGAAAAGUAUCCAGUAACUAUCACUAUUGCCAACUCUGGGAUCCCAGACUGAGAGCAGAAGUGGUAGUCCUGGAGAAGACACAGAUGCACGCAGCCAUCAGAUAGAUGCCCUGAAAACUCUUUUGACUGUUUAUCACAUGAAACCUUGCUGUGGCCAGCAUUCAUUGUGACUUUUGGUGGAGCAGCUGUUGUGCUGCUGAGUUCAUUGAACUGAAGGUGUGCUGCCCAUGGGUGAACAAUGUGAUUUCUGCCUCCCCUACCUCUGCCACUGAGCACACGGGAUCUUCCUGAUCUUCACAUAAGGGAUGACAGACCAAGGGGGUCUCAGUGCCAUGAGCUUGAGGACCAUGACUGCAAGAAUAAUCAACUCGCAGUUGACCUGAAUUUGUGCGGGACCUGCUACUCCAGCUGGAUCCCUACAAAUCUAUGGGGCCUGAUGGGAUUCAUCCCAGAAUCCUCAAAGAGCUGGCUGAUGUUAUCGCAAAGCCUCUCUCAGUUUUUGAGUUGUCUUGGGAAUCUGGAGAGUUCUCAGUUGACUGGAAGCUAGCAAAUGUUGUACCAAUUUUCAAUAAGGGCAAGAAGGCGGACUUCGGAACCUACAGGCCUGUCAGUCUCCCUUCAGCGCCUGCUAAAU